rnacentral:misc_RNA from 1 species
GAUGAAGAACGCAGCGAAAUGCGAUACGUAAUGUGAAUUGCAGAAUUCAGUGAAUCAUCGAAUCUUUGAACGCAUAUUGCGCUCUUUGGUAUUCCGAAGAGCAUGCUUGUUUGAGUAUCAGUAAACACCUCAAAGACUUCAAUUUGUUUUGAAUGGCUUUGGACUUGAGCAAUCCCAACACCAGUCUUUACUAUCGGUGGAGGGUUGCUUGAAAUGCAGGUGCAGCUGGACAUUCUCCUGAGCUAAAAGCAUAUUUAUUUAGUCCCGUCAAACGGAUUAUUACUUUUGCUGCAGCUAACAUAAAGGGAGUUUGACCGUAUUGGCUGACUGAUGCAGGAUUUCACAAGGGUCGGCAACGAUUCUUGUAAAACUCGAUCUCAAAUCAAGUAAGACUACCCGCUGAACUUAAGCAUAUCAAUAAGCGGAGGA